rnacentral:rRNA from 1 species
AUAUAACUAAGCGGAGGAAAAGAAACUAACCAGGAUUCCCCUAGUAACGGCGAGUGAAGCGGGAAUAGCUCAGACGUUUAAUCUUCGGAAAUGUCGUCUGUAGAAGCAUGAUAUAGUCUAAAAGAUGAACUAAAUCUUCUGGAAUGAAGUGCCAAGGAGGGUGACAGCCCCGUUCAAGUUCAUCGACUAGAUGUUUUCAGCUUUCAACGAGUCGAGUUGUUUGGGAUUGCAGCUCUAAGUGGGUGGUAAAUUCCAUCUAAAGCUAAAUAUUGGUGGGAGACCGAUAGCGCACAAGUA